UACGAGGGGGGCAAGCGUUGUUCGGAAUUAUUGGGCGUAAGGGUGCGUAGGCGGUCUGACAAGUCUGAUGUGAAAUCUAUGGGCUCAACCCAUAGUCUGCAUCGGAAACUGUCGGGCUUGAGUAUGGGAGAGGUGAGUGGAAUUUCCGGUGUAGCGGUGAAAUGCGUAGAUAUCGGAAGGAACACCUGUGGCGAAAGCGGCUCACUGGACCCAUUACUGAGCGCU
rnacentral:rRNA from 1 species